rnacentral:rRNA from 2 species
CCCUGAUGUUAGCGGCGGACGGGUGAGUAACACGUGGGUAACCUGCCUGUAAGACUGGGAUAACUCCGGGAAACCGGGGCUAAUACCGGAUGGUUGUUUGAACCGCAUGGUUCAAACAUAAAAGGUGGCUUCGGCUACCACUUACAGAUGGACCCGCGGCGCAUUAGCUAGUUGGUGAGGUAACGGCUCACCAAGGCAACGAUGCGUAGCCGACCUGAGAGGGUGAUCGGCCACACUGGGACUGAGACACGGCCCAGACUCCUACGGGAGGCAGCAGUAGGGAAUCUUCCGCAAUGGACGAAAGUCUGACGGAGCAACGCCGCGUGAGUGAUGAAGGUUUUCGGAUCGUAAAGCUCUGUUGUUAGGGAAGAACAAGUACCGUUCGAAUAGGGCGGUACCUUGACGGUACCUAACCAGAAAGCCACGGCUAACUACGUGCCAGCAGCCGCGGUAAUACGUAGGUGGCAAGCGUUGUCCGGAAUUAUUGGGCGUAAAGGGCU